AUCGUCUUCCAUCUUUCAUAACGGACGCAACAUCUUCUUAUCCUCAACCCCCUGUUUGGUAUGCACAUCUCCUCACUCCAAUCGAAAUCUUUAAUAACCUCCAUCAGCCAUCCGCACCACCCAAGCCAGCGGCAAUCUCUUCCUCCGUGCCACCCAAGACGGAGGUAUUCUCUUCAUGCGUCCACACAGGUGGUGCCUGCCUUAACCGUCCGUCCGUGCUAGCCAAGACGGCCGCACAACCGCCGGCCACCAAUGUCUAAAGUGGCGCUCCUCCAUUGACGUAAGUGCGGCCGCCUCGCCGCAACCUCAUGGCGCAGCACACCUUAGUUUCUAUCUCCCUCCAAAGCAUCUGGAUCCAUUCCCUUCCUGUAGUAUUGUUGUUUGGGAUGGCCCUGUGCACCCGCCUCUCUUUGAUUUAGAUGCAGGCCGGCCGCAUGCUGCUGGCAAUACGGUAGUUCUUACUCCAUUGAACCCAACGAGGUAUACAGUCUAGUCUACACUUUCUGUUAUAUUUUACCCAAAGCAAUAUGACCUCACACAACAGUGGACUGCUAUUGAAUCAUAAUCUCACAUGUGAAUGAUUGACAAUUUUUUCUCUAA